CGGAGGAGCGAUUUUUACAGUAAUUACGGCGGCAGAGUGUGGAAAGCGCGGGAGGGGAAAUAAAGUACACCCCUGCAGACAUCCAAGGCGUGCACAGAAUGCUCGAAAGGUGUAGAUGAGUCACAGAACGACGAAGGCAGCACGAUGUCCUGGUUGAUGUGAAAGUCCAACACGAUCUUAGGGCGAAAGGCAGGAUCCAGAUGCAAGAUCACCUUGUCCAGGAACGAAAGAACAGGAGCAGAUCCUUCAUGAGGCAUCUCAAGCGGUGGACAAGAGGGAACUAAAGAGGGAGGCACUCUACAGCCAGCUUUGUAGGCUCUGAUAUCACUACACCUUAAAGGGGUCAGAGAGCACCUAAACGGAGCUACAGAUUCUUCCACGGGCCUCUUGCACAAGCACAGAAGACUCAGUUGUGAGGUACCAUGGCUCCCUACAGAAAUAUGAGGAUUUAUGCCCACAUUACAACUGAAUCUCACAUUGAAAUAGCACUGAGAAGAAAGCAAAAGUUACAAUGCCGAAAAUGUUACUAAAGGCAUAAGGGUGUGUGUCCCCCCCCGAUCCCACAACCAUUACCUUGCUUACCCCAGUUAGCAAGCUCAGUUUGUACACCUAUGUUUUCAAAAUACAAUUUCCCCCAGACUGCAGAAAUCCCAAGUGUGUUCAAAAGGACAAUUCAAACUAGACUCUAAUAACUGCUGUUAUCUUUACACUGCUCAUCCUGUAUAUUACAAUACAUUACAACUC